rnacentral:tRNA from 1 species
GGGGGCGUGGCGAAAUGCAAACGCGAAGGCCUUAAAAGCCUUUGUCCCAAAAGGACUUGCAGGUUCGAAUCCUGCCGCCCCUACCA